rnacentral:tRNA from 1 species
GCCGAGGUGGCGAAAUUGGUAGACGCGCCAGGCUUAGGACCUGGUGGGGAAACCCAUGGAGGUUCGAGUCCUCUCCUCGGCA